AUAAUAUAAAGUAUAUUCCUUCAUAUAUCCUCAAAAAUAUGGUUUGAGAGUCUCUACCGGGUUGCCGUAAAUAACCUGACUAUGAAGGCAGUGUAGCUAUAU
rnacentral:ncRNA from 2 species